GUUUGCCCCCAGUGCCCGAAGGAUGGCCUGCAGGAGCAGCUCCCAGAGGGCCUCCAGCACCCUGCAGGGACACUCCGUGCCCGUGGCCGUGCCCAUGAAGGGACCCCAGGCCCCGCCCCGGCCCAACCGCCCCAAGCUGUACCUGCUAAGGUUCUCCUUCACCAGGGAGGUAUUCAGCAGGGCCAGCUUCUCAUCCAAGUACUUCAUGAGCGGGGCCACGGCCUGCGGGCAGCAUCCUCAAUGCCACACUGCCCGGGCCCCACCCCGCGCACGCUCCCCUCGGUGCCCAGGCCCUCACUUCAUCAUUCUGGAUGGAGUCGGGCGACAGGCUGAUGUGCUGCACGUACUUCCUGAUGUCAGCCACCAUCUGAGGGACGGCAGAGCUCAGCACCAAGUGGCAGUGAGGGGGCGGCCGGGUCCUCUGCCCGCCCGCCCGCCCACCUUGGAGGUCAGGUGCGCCGUCACGGUGUGGACCUCCUGCUGCAGGUCUUCGUCCAGGGCCUGUGCACAGCCGAGCAGAGGGCGCGGGAGCACCCCCUCGGGCCCCGAGGUCACCUCCGGCCACGCCAGACCCCGCAGCGUCUGCCCGGCAGCCUUGCGCAGGAGCUCCACGUUGUUGAGAACCACACAGAGCUGGGGAGGCGCCCCACGUCGGGGGGGGGGGGGAGGGGUCGGCAGCCCGGUCGUGGCCCCGCCCCGCCCCCUGCCCGCCAGGCCGCUCACUGGCUCGCUCACUGCCUCGCCCGCGGCCCCCGGCUGAGCGUCCACCUUCUUCCGCAGCAGCUCAGUGUAGAAGAGGGUGGCCGCACACAGGUCCUACGGUGGGAGACGAGGGCUCAGGAGCUGCGGGCUGUGUCCCCUGGGCCCGCGGCCCUCCCAGACUCGUCUCCUCCCAGACCACGCUCCCCAACGCACAGCCAACACACCUGGCUGAGCUGGGUGCCCAGGGCCUCGGCCUGGGCAGGGUCCGGCCAUGCCAGGCGGGCCCACAGCUCCUGGAUGUGACUGAAGCAGAGACUAGCCGUGGCCGCAGAACUGCUGUGCUUGGAGGAGGUGUCCAUGGGCUCCAGCUAGGAAGGCAGGAGGCCUGGGUGGCAAGGGGGGGCCCUGGCUGAGCCCAGCACCCUCAGGCCCGGGCGCCUACUCACCGUGUCCACAUCCACGGCUCCCUGCAGCCUCCACCUGACCUGGUCCCGCAGCACCUGCAGCCAAAGCUUCACAGCGGGCAGGAACGGGCCAUGGAUGCCAGCCAGGGCGAGGGAGCGGCUGUCGCUGUGGCAGGAGGCCAGUGGGAGCUCGCCCGGAAUCCGACACCUUGAGCCAGCACGUCCCAGGGUCCCGGCCCAAGGGGACACCCGGGAGAGCCUGCCUCCAAGGGCCCUCGGGCUGUCCCAGAGGCCUCCUAGAGGAGGCUGGGGGACAGGUGGGAGUGGGUGCAGGUCUGGGAGGCCAACAGUGGGAGGAGACAGACAGGGCAGGUGGGGGGAACGGGAUAGGUUGGGGCAGGGCACCCACCGGCCGGGGAUGCUGCUCCAGAAACGCUGGAUGUCCGCCAGGGUCACGUACAGUUCGAAGAGCCCUGAGGCCACCUCGAGGGUCAUCUUGGGGCUCAGCUCCUCCGUCAGCACCCAUGCCUCCUCGGCCACCUACUCAGGAGGACGCAUUCAAGCCACCAGCAACAGGGAAAGCGGGCCCCUUUCCAGCCCGGGGGCUUCUCCCCACAGCCCCUCCUCACCAGACGCUCCAGCUGCCGGAAAGUGAGUGUGAAGAAGUCGAUGUCGGUGAUGCUGCAGGGAACAAAUGUCACACACCUGCCUGCCCCGCCACCGGCCUGGCGGCAUCCCUGAGGGGCCGGGGGCAGGGACGGCGGGCAGAGCCCUGGGCCCCACCUGUGGAAGAGGCUGGCGUAGAUGCCGUAGCAGGACUGCAGAUCCUCGUAGACGGUGUCCGCCAGCUCGACCAGCCCGGCGAGGCGCUGCGGCCCCGACUGCGAGGAAGCCCGGUUCACACUGACCUUCUGGCCCGCACCUACUUGCCGCCCCCCCUCCGCUCCCCUCCCCCGCGGCACCUGCUCUCGAGGACUCUUGGUGUUCAGGAGCCUGUCAUACCACUCACGGUUGCCUCUCUGCAAGACGAGCCACCAACACGGGGUGGUGAGUGGGGGGGGAGGUUAAAAGGGCCCUGGAGCGUGGCGGAGCAGGCCGGGAGCCGGGGGUGGGCGCGGCCGGGCACCCCCGUGUGGGCCGCGAGGGGCGGGCACCGGGCACAGAUUCGCUACCGGACACACCUUCAGAGCAGCAGAGAUGUCCGCGUUUAGUUCUGUCCGGAAGGAGCACACCUCAAAGGAAGGCUGGAAGGUCUGCGUCUUGCUGAGACACCUGGAGGGGCCGCCCGCUGACUGUGCGCUGCCCCGCCCGGCUCCCUACCCACCCCCACCGACCCCCCCACGCCCCCACCCCCGGCCAGGGCCUGGGCUACACCCACUUGAGCAGCAGCUCCAGACGGUAGACGGCAGUGCUGUUGGUGGCGGGGAAGAAGUCUCGAAGCUGACGCAGCAGCCGCAGCCCAAACUCGGAGAAGGCAUUGAAGCUGUCAGCCAGGCUCUCCUCCUGGGGGCACCGGCCCGUCGGAGCUGACCCCCACUGCCCUCCCCACGGGGUGGGUAGGGGCAGCCAGUCUGCAAGGGCCUCCUUGGGCCAUCCGUGGGCCUGGUUUCUCCAAACUCAGCCACCACAGUCCCCACGGCCUCAGGGCCUUGGCGCCCCCCGUUCCCCCUACCCAGCUUCGAGCACCCACUCCCUCCGUCCCUCGCCCAGAUGGAGGGCACGACCUCCCUCUCCUGGGACUCGGACACAUCCCCUGUCUCAGCAUUGCACAGUACCCGCUCUAUCCUGGGUCAUGAAGUUUGUUUUCAGCCCCACAGGGCCCUGUAAGCCGAGCACCCCAUGUGGGCAGCACUCCGCCCUGUCUGCCCCAGCGCCAGCGGCCCCACAGCACACCCCCCAGGAACAGCUCACCUGCUCUUGGGGCAGCGAAGACGCUUCCCAAUGCGCCUGCAUGUCCUCCAGCAGCCCCAGCAGGCGCCCGGUCAGCCCCGUUCGGAGGGCGAGGCUACCUCCUCGGAUCGGUGCUCGAACUGCAGGAGACGACUGAGCAGCAGCAUGUAGGACAGGAAGCCCGCCCGCCCGCGCUGGCUCAUGCCCGUGUCCCUCUGGAAUGCAGGAGCCGCCCGUCACCAGCCCUGCCCAAGCCCGUGGGCAGGGGUGCACGGCCAAGACACAGGGCAAGGGACCCCCACGGCUCCCCACCUGUGUGGUGAUCAGCUUGAGGACCAGCUGGCAGUCUCCUUGAACGCGGGAGGCGCUGGAGCGUGGUUCCAGCUUGAACCAGCGGUCUUCACCCGCCACGGGCACCUCCUGAAAGGAAAGGGUUCACACCGGCCAUCCCCCCUCCGGCUCCCUCCCACGGACUCUCUGUGGGACCGAGAGGAGAACACACAGCUCUGCUGGCCCCGGAGACGGGUGUUCAGCACCGAGUGAGCCCUCAGGGGCGCCCGGACACCCAGGAAGCUGUUCCUUCCCCCUCCCCUGCAGCUCAAGGCCCCACCAGCCCAAGAAGGCCAGGAGAUGCUUGGGGGAGUCGCAGGGCAGACCCACCAGCAGUAUCCCCGGAGGAUGAGACCCCACAAACAGGCGGUCCGUGAGCGGAGCCCCGGCCCCCACUCACCCGGACGGGUGCACCCACACCCGCUGCCCUGCAGGGACCAGGGGCGUCUACCAGAUAUCCAGGUGCAGCUGGUCCGUGCUGACAUCCUCGAUCUCACUACAGGGUUCAGGGUGCUGCUCUUGACCUCGGUGACCUGGAUGCACUUGGCCGGGAGCGGACCCCCACGCUUGCUGCCUUUGCGGAAGCUGAAGCGCUGCUCCGUGCGCGGCCCUGGCUCCCGGGGGGCACCCGAGGCCGGCAGGAUACCCAGCAUGCAGUACGGGUCACUGAAGCCUGAGACACAUCGGGCGCCUCAGCCGCCAGCCCUGGGCCCUCCGUCCCUCCGUGGCCACCGGACCUGGGCACAGCCGAGGUCCAGGCUGGUCCCUACUCACCAUUGGGGUCUUUGGCCAGUAGGUUCUUGGCACGCAUGACAGAGACUUUCAGGGCAUACGUGGGGGCCUGUGGGCAGAGGGUGCUGACCGGCCUCUUGCAGAAGGCUCGGUGUGACCGCGACAAGGCCCUGCUCUGUGUCCUCCCCACCCCGAGCCCUAGCACCGCGGCUGGCCAGCGUCUGCCCACGUGGGUGGCAGCCUCACCUUGGCCUUCUUCACGCGCUCAAUGGCCUCAGCGUGCUCCUCAGGGCUGGUACCAAACACCUAUAGAGGGUGGGCCGGUGUGAGGGCCCAGGUACCCCCGAGGCAAACCUGGCCAUUGUCCUGGGGGCCUCCCGGGGCAGAGGAAACACACACACACACAGAGGAGGAGGAAAGAUCUGUUUAUCUGUCGGUCCAUCCUCUGGGUCCGUUCCUCUGUCGGUUUGUGCUUUCUACCCUUCUGUGUGUGUGUGUGUGUGUGUGUGUGUGUGUGUGUCCCCAUCCCUCCAUCCUCCCGGGCACACCUACCAGCACAUACGUGUAUCUGCACAUGCACGUGUGGGUAUGUGUGUGUUCCGUACGUGGGGCGAGUCUGUGUGUGUUACAUGGGUGAUGGUGAUGGUGAUGCCUCCAGGCAGAGGAAAGGGCUCCCCUGACAAGGCACGGCCAGGCCAGCACGGAGGGUGGGCCGGUGGGGCUCACCUGCUGAAGGUAGCCCAGUAGGGUCUCCUGGUCAUCCACCUGGUCAGGGCCCAUGGUCCCUGCACGGUAGAGGACUGUGUACAAGGCCUCCUCAUAGAGCAUCUCCACCUGUGGGUGGGGCGGGGCGCACACCCUGAGUCCCAGCCGCCCCAUCCCCGUAUCCUUCAGCCCCAGGCCCUGAGCCCUGGCCACUGGGGGUCAGGGCUCCUUGGUUCCACCCCCUGUAUGCCUGGGAGGGACGGGGGGGGGGGGGGGGGGGGUAGUCCUCAGGAGCUCCCCCCACUGGCAGAUCGCAGUCCCAGCAUCAGGACCUUUGCACCUGCUGGGCCCUGCACUGGCCCCCUGAGCUCUGCUUCCUACUCGCUUGCAUGGGAAGUCCCGGCCCACUCACCCUUGCCACCUCUGGUGUCCCCCCUGUCCCCAGAUCCUGGGCCAGGCCCAUCUUAGGUGCUCCCAGACCCUCCCUGGGGCCAGGCCCCCUCCCCCUUACCUCCUCCUGGGUCAGGGCUCUCAGGCCACGGCUGGGGUCAACGGGCUCAGCAGGGGCUGGUGAACCGCUGUGCAAGAGGACCUGUGAGGAGAAAUGGGGUGAGGGUCUAGAGGGGGGAGGGCCCCAGGGACG